UGCUGGGCGGCUGGAAAACGUACACCGUUAAAACAGCCAUGGCUGAGAUCUUUAAGAGCGGUACAGUUCGGAGAGGCGAGUGUUUAAUUGCUUUUAUGGAAAAAAGGAGUAUCACCGCUCUUGUUCGUUGAAGUGUUGGCUUUAUUUUCACCUCGUGUCAGGCUUUCCACGAGAAAACGAGAUUAAAUUAUCUCUUGUCUUUCGUUAAUUGUAAUUAACGAGAAGCGAGCACACGUAGCUUCUUGUUAAUUCGAUUUUUUUACGUGUCUGGCUAUAACGCGGUGUACAUGAACCUUGGAUCAUUGUCAAAUACAUGUGUUUCAAGUUCAUGUACAUGUUGAUGAAAGUUGUCGAUUAUGAGGUGUCACUCUAAGGGCAAUAAAUUCAUGGUGGAAC